UCCGUAGGUGAACCUGCGGAGGGAUCAUUACACAAUUUAAAAUAUGAAGGCUUCGGGCUGGAUUAUUUUUUCUCACCCUUGUCUUUUGCGCACUUGUUGUUUCCUGGGCGGGUUCGCCCGCCACCAGGACCACACCAUAAACCUUUUUUAUGCAGUUGCAAUCAGCGUCAGUAUAACAAAUGUAAAUCAUUUACAACUUUCAACAACGGAUCUCUUGGUUCUGGCAUCGAUGAAGAACGCAGCGAAAUGCGAUACGUAGUGUGAAUUGCAGAAUUCAGUGAAUCAUCGAAUCUUUGAACGCACAUUGCGCCCUUUGGUAUUCCAAAGGGCAUGCCUGUUCGAGCGUCAUUUGUACCCUCAAGCUUUGCUUGGUGUUGGGCGUCUUUUGUCUUUGGCUUCGCCCAAAGACUCGCCUUAAAACGAUUGGCAGCCGGCCUACUGGUUUCGCAGCGCAGCACAUUUUUGCGCUUGCAAUCAGCAAAAGAGGACGGCACUCCAUCAAGACUACAUUUUUACGUUGACCUCGGAUCAG
rnacentral:rRNA from 1 species